CGUAGCCGGUUUUACAAGUCCUCCGUUAAAUCCAACUGCUUAACAGAUGGGCCGCGGAGGAUACUAUAAGACUAGGAGGCAGGAGAGGCAAGCGGUACUCAGUGGGUAGGGGUAAAAUCCGUUGAUCCAUUGAAGACCACCAGUGGCGAAGGCGGCUUGCCAGAAUGCGCUCGACGGUGAGGGAUGAAAGCUGGGGGAGCAAACCGGAUUAGAUACCCGGGUAGUCCCAGCUGUAAACGAUGCAGACUCGGUGAUGGACUAGCUUCAUGCUAGUCCAGUGCCGCAGGGAAGCCGUUAAGUCUGCCGCCUGGGUAGUACGGUCGCAAGACUGAAACUUAA
rnacentral:rRNA from 1 species